rnacentral:rRNA from 1 species
UACGUAGGGCGCAAGCGUUGUCCGGAAUUACUGGGCGUAAAGGGCUCGUAGGUGGCCAACUAAGUCAGACGUGAAAUCCCUCGGCUUAACCGGGGAACUGCGUCUGAUACUGGAUGGCUUGAGUUCGGGAGAGGGAUGCGGAAUUCCAGGUGUAGCGGUGAAAUGCGUAGAUAUCUGGAGGAACACCGGUGGCGAAGGCGGCAUCCUGGACCGACACUGACACUGAGGAGCGAAAGCCAGGGGAGCAAACGGG